rnacentral:tRNA from 6 species
GGAGAGAUGGCCGAGUCGGCUGAAGGCGCUCGCCUGCUAAGCGAGUGUAUGUCGAAAGAUGUACCGAGGGUUCGAAUCCCUCUCUCUCCGCCA